rnacentral:rRNA from 1 species
UACGAAGGGGGCUAGCGUUGUUCGGAUUUACUGGGCGUAAAGCGCGUGUAGGCGGAUCGUUAAGUCGGGGGUGAAAGCCCAGAGCUCAACUCUGGAAUUGCCUUCGAUACUGGCGGUCUGGAGCAGAGAAGAGGCGAGUGGAAGUCCGAGUGUAGAGGUGAAAUUCGUAGAUAUUCGGGGGAACACCAGUGGGGAAGGCGGCUCGCUGGUCUCUUGCUGACGCUGAGACGCGAAAGCGUGGGGAGCAAACAGG